rnacentral:tRNA from 1 species
GCGGAUAUAGUGAAACCUUAACACACUGGUUUGUGAGACCAGAGAUAGGGGCUAUAUUCCCCCUUAUCCACC